UCCGUGCCAGCACGCCGCGGUAAAGUACGGGAGGGGUGCGAGCGUUUAAUCGGAAAUUUACGUGGGCGUAAAGCGCAUGCAGGCGGCCUGUUAAGUCAGAUGUGAAAGCCCGGGGCUUAACCUCGGAAUUGCAUUUGAAACUGGCAGGCUAGAGUCUUGUAGAGGGGGGUAGGAAUUUCAGGUGUAGCGGUGAAAUGCGUAGAGAUCUGAAGGAAUACCAGUGGCGAAGGCGGCCCCCUCGGACAAAGACUGACGCUCAGAUGCGAAAGCGUGGGGAGCAAACAGGAUUAGAUACCCUGGUAG
rnacentral:rRNA from 1 species